GUCGAACGAACCCUUCGGGGUGAGUGGCGCACGGGUACGUAACACGUGGGAAUAUACCCUUCAGUAAGGAACAACACAGAGAAAUUUGUGCUAAUACCUUAUAAUGACUCCGGUCCAAAGAUUUAUCGCUGAAGGAUUAGCCCGCGCCUGAUUAGGUAGUUGGUGAGGUAAGAGCUCACCAAGCCGACGAUCAGUAGGGGGUUUGAGAGGAUGAUCCCCCACACUGGAACUGAGACACGGUCCAGACUCCUACGGGAGGCAGCAGUGAGGAAUAUUGGACAAUGGGCGAAAGCCUGAUCCAGCCAUGCCGCGUGAGUGACGAAGGCCUUAGGGUUGUAAAGCUCUUUCAGAUGCGACGAUAAUGACGGUAACAUCAGAAGAAGCUCCGGCUAAAUUCGUGCCAGCAGCCGCGGUAAUACGAAUGGAGCAAGCGUUGUUCGGAAUCACUGGGCGUAAAGCGUACGUAGGCGGAUUAACAAGUCAGAAGUGAAAGCCCAGGGCUCAACCCUGGAACGGCUUUUGAAACUGUUAGUCUAGAGUCCCGGAGAGGUUAGGGGAAUUCCGAGUGUAGCAGUGAAAUGCGCAGAUAUUCGGAGGAACACCAGUGGCGUAGGCGCCUAACUGGACGGGAACUGACGCUGAGGUACGAAAGCGUGGGGAGCAAACAGGAUUAGAUACCCUGGUAGUCCACGCCGUAAACGAUGUAUGCUAGUUGUUGGUGUCCUUAGGGCAUCGGUGACGCAGCUAACGCGAUAAGCAUACCGCCUGGGGAGUACGGUCGCAAGAUUAAAACUCAAAGGAAUUGACGGGGACCCGCACAAGCGGUGGAGCAUGUU
rnacentral:rRNA from 1 species